rnacentral:rRNA from 1 species
UGCCAGCAGCCGCGGUAAUACGAAGGGUGCUAGCGUUGUUCGGAAUUACUGGGCGUAAAGAGCAUGUAGGCGGAUGAAUUAGUCAGAGGUGAAAGCCCCGAGCUCAACUUGGGAACUGCCUUUGAUACUGUUUAUCUAGAGUUUAUCAGAGGAAAGCGGAAUACAUAGUGUAGAGGUGAAAUUCGUAGAUAUUAUGUAGAACACCAGUUGCGAAGGCGGCUUUCUGGGAUAAUACUGACGCUGAGGUGCGAAAGUAUGGGUAGCGAAGAGGAUUAGAUA